rnacentral:rRNA from 1 species
GGAGGAAAAGAAACCAACAGGGAUUGCCUUAGUAGCGGCGAGUGAAGCGGCAAAAGCUCAAAUUUGAAAUCUGGCUCUUUCAGAGUCCGAGUUGUAAUUUGAAGAAGGUAUCUUUGGGUCUGGCUCUUGUCUAUGUUUCUUGGAACAGAACGUCACAGAGGGUGAGAAUCCCGUGCGAUGAGAUGAUCCAGGCCUAUGUAAAGUUCCUUCGAAGAGUCGAGUUGUUUGGGAAUGCAGCUCUAAGUGGGUGGUAAAUUCCAUCUAAAGCUAAAUAUUGGCGAGAGACCGAUAGCGAACAAGUACAGUGAUGGAAAGAUGAAAAGAACUUUGAAAAGAGAGUGAAAAAGUACGUGAAAUUGUUGAAAGGGAAGGGCUUGAGAUCAGACUUGGUAUUUUGUAUGUUACUUCUUCGGGGGUGGCCUCUACAGUUUAUCGGGCCAGCAUCAGUUUGGGCGGUAGGAGAAUUGCGUUGGAAUGUGGCACGGCCUCGGUUGUGUGUUAUAGCCUUCGUCGAUACUGCCAGCCUAGACUGAGGACUGCGGUUUAUACCUAGGAUGUUGGCAUAAUGAUCUUAAGUCGCCCGUCU